GGCCGGUCGUGCUCGGGCGCAGAAGGCGGGAGGAGGCUGUCGGUGAGGCGCCAGGGGCGUCCCUGUGGCCCGCGGGAAAUCUCACGGUUCGCUGACGUGUUGCCCGAGAGCAGUCAGGGUGUCAGGACAGAGUGCAAGACGGUUUCCAAGCCGUGCUCUACCCUGUCUGUCUCCCUCUUUCUAGCAACUACUUAUCUAUGGCUGUCUGUCUGUCUAUCAUCCAUCUUUAUUGGCAAUUUCUAUGGAUCGUUAAUAACGAUCUUGACCUCGAGCUUGACCUCGAGAUGAGAUGAUCUCAUCUUUGAGGUUAGGAAAUAUCUCCUGUAGAAACACCUUCUGCACACCCAGGCCCUCCUCUGCCUCGGUUUGAGGAAGCUGGAGAAAGGCCUGGGGUGGGGUUGGGGGGGUCACUUCCCCUUCCCGAGGCUGCUGACAUCCGCACCCUGGGCGUGGCUCCUGCACCUGUCCCUGAGCCACGGGCUCUGUCCUGUUCCCACGGGCAAGAACAAGCAGGCUGUGCAGGCUGUGCCAUGCCCCCCAGCUGCCUCCCCCUCCUGGGAACCAGUGAGUCCGCAAAGGAGGGGAGGGGACUAGAGGGCAGGGGUCUGGGAGACCCUGGGUCGGGGUCUGGUUCCCUGCUCAGUCUGGCCUCCAGCCUGGGAUGUGCUGGGCCCUGGGAGGAAAGUGACCCUGCAGGACUGCCCCGUCUCACCCAGGCCUGAGCCUGGGCACACGGGCACCAGCAGCUCCACUGUGUCCGGGAUGGGCCCGGGGACGGGUGAGUCUGACCAGGAAGGCUGGAAGUGCCUGGGGACUUGCCUGAGCCUGGCCUUGAGGAAGGAAGUUGUUUUUCUGCGAGUUGGAGGUCAUGGAUGCAUAAAUCCUUCCCUGCAUCAAACAACCCUGGAGCCCCCCGUGUAAGGGAAUCGGGCAGGUGGGUGCUUUGCUCACCAGAACUUCUCUUCCAGUGCUCUGCCGGGGACAGGUGAUCCGAGCACAGACAGAUGGAGGAAGCGACCACAAACCAAGGACAGGAGCCGCCUCCAGGAGCAGAGAAGACUGGAAAACAGAUCAUUUAAUAUUCAAGUUCUGAAAGACUAUGGAAAAUGAAAACACUUCACCUGGAUCUACUCACGGGGUAUCACUGAAUAAGCCCCUUGCUUUGCUGUAACUCAUGGUUCUCUCCUCUUGAAAGACUCUCCUUCAUCAACCCCAGCCAUGACCAACUGUUGAGAGGAAAACACCUCCAAAGUCCCCAUUCGUGUUCUUGCUUUAAGCUUCAUUUAUCCAAACAGGAUUCCGUGAUACUGGAAGACGUGGAGAUUAACACAAAUGACGAAUAUAGCAUCAUGGGCAGAUACCACAAAACCUCUGGCCAUCCAGCUCUAAACCAAGCAUUUGGCUGUCUAUACAUUAAAGGAUAUUUGUAAAUUUUCUCAAAUAUAGAGUUGGGAGUUUGUCGCAGGUAUAUAUUGGUUUCUGAGAAAGGAGAAGUCAUAAACCAUAUUUAUGACCAUGCAGGGUCCAACCUGUGGGGAAACAGCUGUCUUGUUCCUUGUGUUGUGUUUCCUGUGCUUUGAUGUUGAAACACCGGCUGGGGGUGACAGGCGUCCACCAGCCACAUCCUCCUAAAGUGUGUCUUUCUCGAUCUGUCCUCUCAUCCAUCCCACAGCCAGGGGCAGGUUCUGAAACUCACCACCCUGUGCUGCCUUCCUCUGAGGGGAAGGAAAAUGAGUCAUAUUUUUAUUGUUAUCUAUUUGUGCUUUUAGAAUGAACCUUGAAUUUCACUGUUGUAAUUCUCCCUAAUUAGUCUUCGUGGUGUGUUAUUCAUUUAUUAAUAAAUAUUUUGAAUUAAGUUAUCAUUAUUAUUUGAGUUAUUAAUAUUUAUCUGAUUUCAUUACGUAUUUAUUCAUUUCUUGUGUAAACUUUAUGUUAUUGUCUUUGUGUGAGAAUGUAUUGGUGACUCAACAGAUGGUGCUUAUAAUUCGAUGGGACAUUUUCUUUGCUGAACCUGUUUUCUUUGUCUAGAAAAUCAUGAAAGCAAAUUCUGAAAUACACUCCCUAAUUUCACAGGGAUAAUGAUUUAUUUAUGCAUGGAGAGACACUGAAUAUGUGGGUAGCAUAAAACCAGCUCAGCCUCAUCCUUGAAAGCUCUGGACCAUGUCAGAAGACCGUGCUGGGAUCUGUAGGAGAAGGGGAGCUUUGGGCCCUGGAUGUCCAGGACAGAGUCACAGCUGUGAUGGGAGUGGAGUUUCAAAAUGAUGGACAGACUCAAAGCUCAAGCCUGCUCUGAAAUGGGAAGUCACAGAAUAGGAGCUUAUAAUCCUAUAGGGAUCACUAUAAAGUCUGUUUUCCUUUCAUGAAACAGUGAGUUGCUAGACUGCUCUGGGGCCCACCCUAGUAGAGACUGAACGCUUGGUUAUGAGCCACCCAGUGACAAAACGAGCUGAACUGCCCACCAGGGACUGCGAGUUGACUGACUAACCAAUGCAUAAAGCUGAGCACACUCAGAAGCACUCCAUCAUCAAAUAGAAGUGGCUUAUAUCAGAUUUGACCAAAGAAGAUCCGGAGGCGUGCACUGGACUGAAUAAUGACCUUCCAAAGAUGUCCAUGAGUUAAUUCCUUGAACCUAUGAAUGAGUUACCUUACAUGGUAAAAGGGACUUUGACGAUGGGUUUAAGUUCAGAGCCUUGAGUUGGGAAGAUUUUCUGUGUCUCAGUUUGCCAAGGCAGCUAUAACAAAUACCACAGACUGUUUCACUUAAACAGUAGGAAUUUAUUAUCCACAGAUUUGAAGGCUAGAAGUCCAAAAUCAAGGUGUCAGCAGGCUACAAUUUCUCUGAAGUCUGUAGCAUUGUGGUAGUGCCUAGCCAGUGAUCCAGAACUCAACCUCUGUCUCUGACACUAUGACCUUCUGUCUCCUCCUCACUCCUACUAUCAUGGCCAAAUUUCCCUUCUUUAUAAGGACUCUAGGCCUACUGUAUUAAGACCCAUCCUAAUUCAAUUUGUCCUCAAAUUAAAUAAUAACAUCUUUAAAUAUCUUAUUUAUAAAUUGUUUUUCAUCAACAGGACUAGGAGUUAGGACUUGAACAUGUCUUCCUGGGGGGGACAUGAUCCAAUACAUAUAAUCUGGGAUUAUCCAGGUGGGCCCAAUAUAAUCACAAGGGCCCUUACCAACAAAGAAUGAGGCAGGAGAGUCAGAUUCAAAGAAGGAGCUGUGACAACAGAAGGGAAUAGAAACCUGGCUUUGAGGAUGGAAGGCACCACAAGUCAAGGAAUGCAGGCAACCUCUGAAAGCUGCAAAAGGCAAGGAACACAUUUCUCCAAGAUGUUCCAGAAGGAAUGAAAUCUUGCCAAGACUUUGAUUUUGUUGAUUUUUCAAAAUUGUAUUUGUGGAGAUAUGCGCUGUGUGCUUCAGGCUGUGCAGGCAGCAAAUGGGGUGGCAGCUGAGGUCUAGAACUGGACCAGAACCGUGUGUGUGCAGAAGCAGUUACUGCUCUCAUCAUGAAGUUUUAAAUGACUUCUCUUUAAGCAGAUGGCCCAACUCCAUUCUCACUUCUGUCUGUCCUGGGUUGGCCAUACCAAGACAGAACCACAGCUUAUACACUUGCUAAUUUUCUCUGUCUUCUUCGUGACAUGAGUCAAGAGAAGGUGGAAAUAGAAGUUUCCCAUGAGAGAAGAAGGCACCAUUUUCUGACCGUGCCCCCGGCCCCAGAGGCAGCAGUGAAGGGUGACUGUAAAUGGACACAUGUCUGAGUCCUGCGCUUUUACCCUUUUUCUGAGGGCUUUGUCUUUCAAAGCUAUGAUCUGAGCUUGCAGCUCCUACAAAAAGAGUCCCAAAAAUUUGUACUGAGGAUGUUCCCAGAGGGAGCUCAAGACUCAGCGCCAAGUGGAGUGGAGGAAGCACACGUGAUCCUGUGGCCGUGGACUGACCGUCCUGCCUGGACGUCGUAACGAGACCUCCUCAGUGGCAACAGGCAUCUCUGGCCCUUGUGGUGUGUGGCAUUAGAUUCGUCAUUUCCUACCACUGAGGCUUAACUUCCUCACCAGGAAAUUGUCCAACAACACGUCUCUCCGAAGGCUGCAAGGAGAGCAUUUGUAACUUCCUUCUUUGGCAAAAUAUACACGAAGGAAAGUGCACAUCUCAACAUCUAUGGCUUGCUGGCUUUUACUUACUAAACAGCCAUGUAAUCAGCAACCAUAUUAAGAAAACAAAAACCGUUAGCCCCCCAGGAGCU